rnacentral:rRNA from 1 species
CCUACGGGAGGCUGCAGUGGGGAAUAUUGCACAAUGGGGGAAACCCUGAUGCAGCAACGCCGCGUGAGUGAAGAAGUAUUUCGGUAUGUAAAGCUCUAUCAGCAGGGAAGAAGAAAGACGGUACCUGACGAAGAAGCCCAGGCUAACUACGUGCCAGCAGCAGCGGUAAUACGGAGGGGGCAAGCGUGACCCGGAUUUACGGGGUGUAAAGGGAGCGGAGACGGCUGUGCCAGUCUGAAGUGAAAGCCCGUGGCUCAACCGCGGAACUGCUUUGGAAACUGUAUAGCUUGAGUACUGGAGAGGCAGGCGGACUUCCUAGUGUAGCGGUGAAAUGCGUAGAUCUUAGGAGGAACACCAGUGGCGCAGGCGGCCUGCUGGACCGAACCUUACGUUGAGGCUCGAAAGCGUGGGGAGCAAACAGGAUUAGAUACCCUUGUAGUC